rnacentral:rRNA from 1 species
UAGCUAGUUGGUGAGGUAAAGGCUUACCAAGGCGACGAUCUGUAGCGGGUCUGAGAGGAUGAUCCGCCACACUGGAACUGAGACACGGUCCAGACUCCUACGGGAGGCAGCAGUGGGGAAUUUUGGACAAUGGGGGCAACCCUGAUCCAGCCAUGCCGCGUGAGUGAAGAAGGCCUUCGGGUUGUAAAGCUCUUUCGGCCGGGAAGAAAUCGCAUGGGCCAAUACCCUGUGUGGAUGACGGUACCGGAAUAAGAAGCACCGGCUAACUACGUGCCAGCAGCCGCGGUAAUACGUAGGGUGCGAGCGUUAAUCGGAAUUACUGGGCGUAAAGCGUGCGCAGGCGGUUUUGUAAGACAGGCGUGAAAUCCCCGGGCUUAACCUGGGAACUGCGUUUGUGACUGCAAGGCUAGAGUACGGCAGAGGGGGGUGGAAUUCCACGUGUAGCAGUGAAAUGCGUAGAGAUGUGGAGGAACACCAAUGGCGAAGGCAGCCCCCUGGGUCGAUACUGACGCUCAUGCACGAAAGCGUGGGUAGCAAACAGGAUUAGAUACCCUGGUAGUCCACGCCCUAAACUAUGUCAACUAGGUGUUGGGUGGGUAAAACCAUUUAGUACCGUAGCUAACGCGUGAAGUUGACCGCCUGGGGAGUACGGCCGCAAGGUUAAAACUCAAAGGAAUUGACGGGGACCCGCACAAGCGGUGGAUGAUGUGGAUUAAUCCGAUGCAACGCGAAAAACCUUACCUACCCUUGACAUGCCAGGAACUUGCCAGAGAUGGCUUGGUGCCCGAAAGGGAGCCUGGACACAGGUGCUGCAUGGCUGUCGUCAGCUCGUGUCGUGAGAUGUUGGGUUAAGUCCCGCAACGAGCGCAACCCUUGUCGUUAAUUGCCAUCAUUUAGUUGGGCACUUUAACGAGACUGCCGGUGACAAACCGGAGGAAGGUGGGGAUGACGUCAAGUCCUCAUGGCCCUUAUGGGUAGGGCUUCACACGUCAUACAAUGGUCGGUACAAAGGGUUGCCAAGCCGCGAGGCGGAGCCAAUCCCAGAAAGCCGAUCGUAGUCCGGAUUGCAGGCUGCAACUCGCCUGCAUGAAGUCGGAAUCGCUAGUAAUCGUGGAUCAGCAUGUCACGGUGAAUACGUUCCCGGGUCUUGUACACACCGCCCGUCACACCAUGGGAGCGGGUUCCGCCAGAAGUAGGUAGCCUAACCGCAAGGGGGGCGCUUACCACGGCGGGGUUCGUGACUGGGGUGAAGUCGUAACAAGGUAGCCGUAGGGGAACCUGUGGCUG